rnacentral:rRNA from 1 species
CCUACGGGGGGCAGCAGUGAGGAAUAUUGGUCAAUGGGCGCGAGCCUGAACCAGCCAAGUCGCGUGAGGGAAGACGGUCCUAUGGAUUGUAAACCGCUUUUGUCGGGGAGCAAAAGACGCCACGCGUGGCGUUCCGAGAGUACCCGAAGAAAAAGCAUCGGCUAACUCCGUGCCAGCAGCCGCGGUAAUACGGAGGAUGCGAGCGUUCGCCGGAUUUAUUGGGUUUAAAGGGUGCGCAGGCGGAAGAUCAAGUCAGCGGUAAAAGUGAGAGGCUCAACCUCUUCGAGCCGUUGAAACUGGUUUUCUUGAGUGAGUGAGAAGUAUGCGGAAUGCGUGGUGUAGCGGUGAAAUGCAUAGAUAUCACGCAGAACUCCGAUUGCGAAGGCAGCAUACCGGCGCUCAACUGACGCUCAUGCACGAAAGUGUGGGUAUCGAACAGGAUUAGAUACCCUUGUAGUC